rnacentral:rRNA from 1 species
GAUGAACGCUGGCGGCGUGCUUAACACAUGCAAGUCGAACGGAAAGGCUCCUGCUUGCAGGGGUACUCGAGUGGCGAACGGGUGAGUAACACGUGGGUGAUCUGCCCUGCACUUCGGGAUAAGCCUGGGAAACUGGGUCUAAUACCGGAUAGGACGAUGGUUUGGAUGCCAUUGUGGAAAGUUUUUCGGUGUGGGAUGAGCUCGCGGCCUAUCAGCUUGUUGGUGGGGUAAUGGCCUACCAAGGCGUCGACGGGUAGCCGGCCUGAGAGGGUGUACGGCCACAUUGGGACUGAGAUACGGCCCAGACUCCUACGGGAGGCAGCAGUGGGGAAUAUUGCACAAUAGGCGCAAGCCUGAUGCAGCGACGCCGCGUGGGGGAUGACGGCCUUCGGGUUGUAAACUCCUUUCGCUAGGGACGAAGCGCAAGUGACGGUACCUGGAGAAGAAGCACCGGCUAACUACGUG